rnacentral:rRNA from 1 species
UACGUAGGGUGCGAGCGUUAAUCGGAAUUACUGGGCGUAAAGCGAGUGUAGGCGGUGUGGGAAGUCGGAUGUGAAAGCCCCGGGCUCAACCCGGGAAGUGCACUCGAUACUGCCACGCUAGAGUAUCGGAGAGGUUGGUGGAAUUCUCGGUGUAGAGGUGAAAUUCGUAGAUAUCAUGAGGAAUACCAGAGGCGAAGGCGGCUACCUGGACAAUUGCUGACGCUCAGGCACGAAAGCGUGGGGAGCAAAAGGG